UCUCAAAAAUAAACAAACAUUUAAAAAAAAAGAGAGAAAGGCCAACCCUGAGAUGGGUCCUGUAACUAGCACCCCAUCCCUCUCCAUUCCAUGACCUGCUUCAUUUAUCUCCAGAAGCUCCAACAUUGUGAGUGUGUUAUGAGGCUUGCUCACCCGAUUGUUGGUUCAGCGAGGGCAAGGCUGGGUUAGUCUUGUUCUUUCCUGAACCUUGGAUCUCAGAAGGGGCACUAGCACAAAGAAGACCGUCAAUAAGUAAGUGUUGAAUGAAUGGAUGCAUAAUGUAGGGCGGCCUGGCAGGGAGGUAGAGGAAAAGGAGUCGCUCACUCAUCCUGGUGGGAGCUGACAGUGCGUGUCUUCUGGUCACCGACAGGCCUGGCAGCUCUUUGGGUGCCUGCCCUGUGUCCCCUACUCAGGACCUUGUGCUCAGUGGCGCCACAUGCCAGGGUCUGAGGGCUUCAGACUAACGGGCCAUGUGAGGGCUGCGAUCUGCCUCCGCCCAUCUGAGGAGAAGCCCGAUCCCCUUCCUGGACUCGAGCCCCGCCUGCCCUGUCCUGCUGCAGACGAAACCAGGCGGAGAGGGGCAGGGCCCAGGCGCAGGGGAACCUGACUGUCCCCCCUGAUCAGGAUUCUGCCCCUUGUCCAAGAGCUCACUCUGACACCCUUUCUCAGGUAAAUGAGCCUUUAAGGAGUAUGACAGUAUGCUGGGGCCCCAUGUCUGUCCGUCAUCCCGGAGAGGACAGGGUGCCAAAGUGCCCAGGGAGCCUGCGAGGGUGACCGGAAGUUAUGAACGCCUGUGGGGCUGAGCCCAGGAACCUCUGCCUUCACGGCAGCAACAGGAAGCUAGUGUGGAGGGCUGGUUUGCAGCCGGCCCUGCCUCGGGGCUGCUGACUGCACCACUCCACAUCCCUCCCACGUGCUGCUGGACACCGCAGGCCUGCUCACCCCGCCUUUGUGCAGGCCCCCCUGUGCAGUGAUGUCAUCCAGCUGCUCUGGGAGAAGACAAAACAGAGAUUUGGCUCAGAAACGCCACUGUGUGUGUGUGUGUGUGUGUGUGUGUGUGUGUGUGUGUGUGUGUGUGUGUGUGUGUGUGUUGGGUGGGGGGAGCCAGAAAGGGGGCUGGAUUGAAGUCAAAGCUGGUGCAAGGCUGAGCAGCCCAUGUGACGGGACAGCCACACACUGAGGUCCCCCAGGAAGGACGCAGCCCCACCCGGCUGUGGAGCUGUGGGGCCCCAGGAGGGCUCGGGGCAGCCAUCCGAGACCAACCUGGCACUAGCGGGAGCCCUCAGCCCUAAAGCACCAGAGGCUUCCCACCCGACUGUGUCCUCAGGCAGCCCCCUAGACUCUGCAGAGCAUUCUAGAAGGGUUACCGGCAGGUGUGGAGGGAUCACAUUCUAGAAGUUUCCACGUUCCCUGGCCCAUUCAGUGGGGCUCCUUUUGCUCAUCAUGUUUCAUGUCCUUUGGCAAAUGCACAUCGUGUUUUACUUAAAUGCAAUUCCCUGAAAACUGACUCACUGGAGUGUUCAGUCAGUCUGAUGACAUCCUCUGUUGUAGUUAAUGAAUACAGAGAGGCACUUUUGAGAGAGGAAAAUGAUGUGUCAUUGUUUUGUGUUUUCUGAAAUCUAUAGGUACCAAGAGGCUACCUCUGUCCUGAAGCCAGUGUUUCAGUUUCUCCCGGAAUGGGGGGCACGGGUGGGGGGUAAACUCCGUCACCUGCCACCUGGGCCUGCCUUGCCCCCUCUAGGCCGCUCUGCCAGCACCCACCCUGCUCUCCCCAGAGCCCACCCCAGCCCUGAAUCCCAGCUCUGCCGAUAGCCAGCCGUGUGACCCCUAACACGUUCCUCUAGCCCUGCCAUGCCUCAGGUUCCGUCAUCAGUGCAGUGAGGACCUCGACGGCACUGCCCUGUUGAAGCAGUGCUCAGCACGGUGAAUAUUGGGUCUUGUUGGUGCCGUUUUGGGGAAGACAGUUGUCACCAGGAAUAUGAAGUCCUCCCAUUCCAGAGGGAAGCUGUGUGUGCAGCGUGGGGUUCAGGAAGCCCUCUUUCCCUCCAUGUGCCCAUCGCAGAGCCAAGUGACACAGGACGUCAUCGGUGAUCUGGUUGACGUACCUCCCCAUGUCCCCGGAAAACCUCCUCCUUGCCCUGCAGGCUCCUCAAGGGGGAAAGACAGCCUUGCCCUGGUCCUUCCCAAGUGGCCAACCUGCUUCUGCUUACACACCUCCUGUGAUGGGGCACUCACUACCUCCCAGGCUGUCCCUUGUAUCAUUCCUACCUCCCACAACCAGAAUGUGCUUUAGGUAACCAUGAAGUCACUCCAGGGAGCCCUCCACAUGGCAGUGGUCGAGAACCUAAACUCCGAACCAAGCUGCUUGCGUUAGAGCCCCAGCGCCACCACUCACAAGCUGUGUUCCAAUGGCCAACAAGCUACGCCUCUCUGUGCCUCCCUGGACUCACCUGCCAAAUGGAGAUCACAUGAAGCACUCAUCCCACAGAGUUGUUGAGGGGAUAAAGAGAGGAAGCUCGUGCGACAGUGCUUGGCACCUGGUGUUACACGCGUGUUUGAUGUGAUUCUUUUCUAAACUGCCAUGACUUAGGGCACCCACCUGCCCGUCUUUUCCUGGGAUCCUCCGCUCAGGGAGGGCUGGUGGCUCUCACUGUCUCCACCUCUGCUGGGGACUCCAUGCAGCUGUCGAUGCUGGAGAGCAUCUAACUUCAGCCACCACCUGCUCCCAAGCCUCAGGGGCUGGUGAAGGAGCCACGUUCCAAGCAGUAUCCCCUGGGCAUCGGGGAUACUUUGUCCAGGCAGAGCCCAGCCACAAGGGAAAGCUUGGGGACUGAAGCCACCUCCUGAGACAGAGCUAGCUCACCUCCGCGAGGACACAGCAGCCGAGGAAGAGAGCCGCACGGCACGAGAAAACAAGAGUCCUGUCUCCACUGCACCCUGCCCACUCCGCAUGUUUGGACCAAACUGGAUUCCCACGGAGACCUCAGCCAUCCGUGCGUCUGCCAGUGGGGACCAGGGAGAGCAUCCUCCGUCCUUCCUGUCCUCACCGGACAUAGCCCUGUAGACAUCUGGAGGCACUUCCGGUCCCCAGAAAUGCCUCAGCAGCCCCUUGCCUGGCCCUCUGCCGGGAUUGUGCCAGUGUGCCCAUCGGAAGCAGCUAGCUGAGGGAAGCGCAUGGCGAAGACAUUAGGCGAGGCAAACGUGGCUCGGGUGGGGACUGGCUGGGCAGCCCCCGUGGGUCUUUGGUGAACGAGCACCUUCGAGGGGGCCCAUCCCUCUCAGUGCUCAGGAAGCCAAGUUCCCACCUGCCACGCGCUCGCCAAGCUGUGCUCCAUUUAAUUCUAAGGCUUCCUGGUAGAGGGUCUCAGCCCAUUUCACAGAAGGGCAAACUGAGCUUCUGAGAUGUUGAGGACGACUGGGGUGACCCUGUGUCUUGGACUGUUCCCCAGUGAGGAAUUUUUUGAGAUACUGGGUUUUGGAUGCUAAAGCCGGCGUGGUGCAGGAUGGGACACUUGGUCACCUGACUAGUGAAUUGACAGAGCCAGGGUGUGAGACCAGGCUGGUCUGCGGCCUCAGCCUGCACUGCUUGCACUGACCCCGCCGUGGAAACCAGGGGGUUUUAGAGGGUUUCCCUCCGCAGCUGAGCCAGAGUCCCAGGCCCUGUCCUCUUCUGGGGUUGGGCUGGGUUCAGUCAGCAAACUGGGCGGAGGGAGGCCCGAAACUCAGCAGGGGCAAGAAUGAAAGAACUCGGGGCGCCUGGGUGGCUCAGUUGGUUAAGCGUCCGACUUAAGCU